rnacentral:rRNA from 1 species
UACGUAGGGUGCGAGCGUUAAUCGGAAUUACUGGGCGUAAAGCGUGCGCAGGCGGUUCGUUAAGUUCGAUGUGAAAGCCCCGGGCUCAACCUGGGAACUGCAUUGGAAACUGGCGAGCUUGAGUAUGGCAGAGGGGGGUGGAAUUCCGCGUGUAGCAGUGAAAUGCGUAGAGAUGCGGAGGAACACCGAUGGCGAAGGCAGCCC